UACGUAGGGGGCGAGCGUUGUCCGGAUUUAUUGGGCGUAAAGAGCUCGUAGGCGGUUCGGCAAGUCGGAUGUGAAAUCUCCACGCUCAACGUGGAGGGGCCAUCCGAUACUGCCGUGACUCGAGUCCGGUAGGGGAGUGCGGAAUUCCCGGUGUAGCGGUGAAAUGCGCAGAGAUCGGGAGGAACACCCGUAGCGAAGGCGGCACUCUGGGCCGGUACUGACGCUGAGGAGCGAAAGCGUGGGGAGCGAACAGG
rnacentral:rRNA from 1 species